ACCUAGCCCUGAUGGAAGUGACAUCCUUUUUCUGGCUCCUUUAGACAGAAAAAGAUAUAGCGGACAGCAGGACAAAAG
rnacentral:sRNA from 1 species